GAUUAAUUUGCUUUGAAGCAAGCCACGACUCUUUUAGUUGUUCUUCCUUACUUGUCUUAAUAUCAAGGUGCUGUGGCUAUACAUAUACUUCUGGAACUACAUCACAUAUUUGCAGCAUAAAAACUGACAAAGUAUAUAUCUAUAUUUAAAUAUUCCUGCGAAAGGAAUAAUCUAAACAACAUGGAAACAUGGUGAACAUCCUUUAUAAGCUACAGCACUGGUGCAUGGCCCAUUAUAGAGCCUAAUAUAGAAGAUCCCUUCCCAGGAGGAUGUCAUCGUCUAUAACUUGGAAGAAACACGUCACAGUGUUUCUUCCACCCUCAGAGAAUAAGAAGCGACUGAAGAAGCUCUGGAGACUAAUGGGUCCAGCAGCAGGUUUGCAGAAGAUAUCAAAGUAUUUAAAAGAACCAACCAGUCAAAUUCAGAACCAACCAAUCAAAGGAUUCAGAAGAAAAAUUGAACCAGACUAUGGAAUGAUUCUUUACGCCACAAUUUAGACCAAAGUGUAUCUCAUCAUUUGUAUCAUUUCUGAAAUUCUUCAGGAGUAUCUUGCUUUCUUAUACCUUUAAUA